rnacentral:lncRNA from 1 species
CACAAGGUGUUUAGUAGGUGGAGGCAAAGUAUGGGGAUGGGCAACUCGGAGUCAUUUAUUAGGAUGACUACUAAUUGGGUCAGACAAUCUUGUUCUUGAUUGUUGGUGUUGGUGAUGGUGUUAUUGUUGUUGGGAACGAACUCAGGCAAUAUGUUCGUGUCAAGUCGAGAUAAGAUCUUCAAUCAACUGAACAUGUUUCAGCACCUCAACAUACGAGUUAGGUCUCAGCAUCGCGACUCGAUCAUAGAUGUCGACAUGAAGGCCCUUUAAAAACUUCCUAACCUUACGACUCUCAAGGGUGACCAUUAGUGGGGCAAAGGUAGACAACCGAACAAAUCGGGUUGUAUAUUAGGCAACCAUCAAAUUUCCCUAGCAGAGAUUGU